AUCCACAACGCGCCGUGCCCAGACGAGAGCCGAGCCAUCAGGGCCGCCGCGCCCAGCCGAGCCGUCGGGGCCGCUGGCGCGCCGCCCGGUCCGCCGUCGCCACCAUCCCUCCUCCACGCACUGCCGCCUCCGCCGAGUAAGAGGUGCCCCGCGAAGGGGAAGUCCCUCCAGGGACGGCGCAGUCGGCGAGCGCCGCGUAGGCAUCGGUGAGGACAUGGGCGAGGGAGGUGGCCCUGUUGUGCGCGGCGGGGAGGCAGAUGCCGACCGCAUGUCUCCUCUCUGAAGGGGUGUGCCUGCAUCCAAUGGUGAGGGACCCUAGCUCCACACCCUUUUGUCGUUGAUGAAUGAAACCUGCAGUUUCUGUAGGUGAAGGUUCUGAAGUUCUUCCCCACGCGGUCCCAUACUGUCGCAGCACAGGUAAUUGACUGCCUGCUUUUCUAAUGCCUGUGUUUUCAGUAGACUGCUGGUGUAUCCUGUCAUUCUGUGUAUGUUGCAAACGGGAAACUAGAAGAUUUAUUGAUGGGAUUGCCCGCUUACCUUCAUGGGGGCUUCAGUUGGAUUGCUGAUGUUGCCACUAGAUUUAUUUGUGCAAAGAAAUCUGGAACACAGAAGAUGGCAAUUGCAUGUUGUGCACGGACUAAUUGGCUGGUCAUUCUGGGGGUAUAUGCUACUGUUUUUAAGGUACACUCAGUGUUCUACUGUUUUUAAGGUACACUCAGUGUUUAUUAGCAUCGAGUUACAUGGUAGACAUGACAGGAGAAAUAAAUUGAUAUUUUCGAUAAAGAAACGAGAAAUAAAUUGAUAGGAACUCUCUGUGUGUCCUCUCCAGAUUAGGAGGACACGGAGAGACACAGAAUCGAGAAAUGAGUCCUCUCCAGAUAGAUUAACAGUAUUGUUAGGCUGGAUAGCUCUGAACCCCAUUCCAGGGUCACUAUGGUUGGUGAUAGUGAUUUCAAGAUCAUCAAAGUCUAUCGUACAAUAUCUCUAUUUGUUAUUCAACUUAGCAAAUUUUCAUCUUCAUUUAGAUAUUACUUAUCCAUCUUACAACUUCAUGGCAUGUUUGCUUUAAGAUGUCUUGCAGGUGCUAUGUUUAUUUUUGUAGAAGUUUUUCUCUCCUGGAUUUUGCAUCAUUUAUUCCCAGGAUGAUUGUUUUCAUGACUAUCAAGAAAUCAGAUCGAGGCUAUAUUCAGUUCAUGAACUGCUGAAACAAAUACAUCCCAGGUUAAUGGCCUUCUUUCUCGCAUGAAGGACGGGAUGAUAGCUACCCGGAAGCGCAAGAUAUUGUUCAUGAAUUCGACAGUGAUUUAGUGAAAUUGUGAAAUCCCUCCUUCUGCUCCUCCCAAUCUUUCAAAUUGAUUUGUUUGAUCUUCUCUUCAUUCUGAUUAAAAUUUCUUAUCGUUCUCCUAAUGGUCCAGCCAAUUAAGAAGAGAAGAUAGGGAGGAGAAAAAUGUAUGACACAAGAAGAGAUGCCUUUAGAAGCAGCCUAAACAGGGAUGACUUAUAUCUCCUUCUACCCUUACAUAUAUUUAGAAUGUACUGGUAAGAGAGGAGGAAGUGAAGAAAAAGGUUGCUGUUCAGAAAGACGCUUAUGAGGAUCCUACAGUUUGAUUUUACUCUAGAGAUGGCAAUUGCUCUAUCCCUAAAUAGUGGAGUUAGCAGCUACUUUUUACAUUUGCAUAUCCAUUAUAUGGGUCUGCAUCAUACAUGUGCAGAUAAAUAAUUAUCAGCCUGGUAGAGGAGAGGAAUUAUAUCUUGAAUUCAUUGAUGCCACAUCAUUUUGGUCCGUACUUUGUACAACUUGACUGUACAAUCAUGAUGCUUUGUUCACAACCUAUAUAAAAUAUUGUAUUAGUAACUUCAAAAUUAAUUUUGCAUAGCUUUUUGCUUAUGCCAAGAAAAUCGACAGAAUAUUUAUAGCACUCUGGGGGCAAAAUGUUAAGUUUCUAGGCAUGAUUUUUAUAUGCUAGAAUAUGUCUUUGACCUAUGGAAAAAAAGGGGUUCAUUAUUUGUUUUCAAGAGCUUAGGUGCAAGUAAGCAGCCCUACAUUCAACCAUAUUUCUUACUCUUCUAUCCAUGAAGUGUUUUCAAAUACUGUCUUUUUCUCUUGACAGAUGCCAUCCGAGGAAAAAACUCUUGACACGGCAUUGUGGUAAUCUCUGUUCUGUUGUAAACAUGUUUUUACUACCAUGUAUCAUCAAGCAUUUAAAACUUUAUUAAGAGAACAUGGCAUUCUAUAUAUGCUCUAGGUAAAGUUGCGUUGGAUACACAAUUCUUGUUUUUUUGUAUUUGGGCAAGCAUUCAUGUAUGUGAAAAUAAAUAUCUUUCCUGUAUGGUUUUAUAUCUCGGCAGAAUAUUACUGGUUUUGCUACCACAACAUGCAAAAUAUGGUGUGGGUGAGAGGCCAAGGUAAAUCUUUUCCUACUCCACAUCUGAAAUAUUUCCAAAUAUCACCCUCAAAGGAAAACUUUUCUUGCUCUUGGCUCAUUGACUGAAUAAACAAAGCAUCACAAUAUGUAGUUCAAUGAUAUUUAGGUACUGGUAAUUAUUUGUUGGCAUAUUGUUUGUCUGCAUAUGUCAUCUAUGAGCCCAUUAUUGACUUUUCUAAAUGUUGAGACCAUUUUUUUGUGGAGUUUGAUGCUCUUGCAGUUAUCUAGCCUCACAUGAUUUGACUGUUUGGCGGUAUUUAGGUUGAUACUUUGCUUUCAGAUUUGUUAGCAAGAAAUGCAUUCCUAUUUGUUUUUCUGGCCGUUAGAGAGAACAACAUACAAGUGUACUCCAGUUGCUUCUGUUUGUAAAACAACUAGAAUGUAAUUAAGCACGAUGCAGUACUAGCAUAUGAAAGACUUAAUAAAUGGCAUCCCACUUUUUUGUAACAUAUAUAUGCCCUGUUCGGAUAUCCACCAGAUCCGUGGAAUUAGAGGAUUUGCGGAGCACCUACUUUCAGCCUACAACUCCGCCGGCUCCGCGAGCCGAGUCUGGGAGCGGAGGGACACCGAACACUCCCAUAUUACCGUCUCUAUGCAGCAACAUGACGACAAUGGCAUCCCACUUUUGAAAAUACAACUUGAGCAACACCGCAUACAUUGUGUAUCUAUUUAAUUCAUAUACUUGGGAUUGUUUUAUUUUAUAUUAAACUAAAAUGUAGCACAUUUGGUCAACAUUUGAGAUGUGCAUUAUUUGAUUCAUAUA